rnacentral:rRNA from 1 species
UUAUAAUAAAAAAUUAAUUAAUAAAAAAUUAAAUGUAAAUCAUUAAAUUUAAAUGAUUUGGCGGUAUUUUAAAUAGUUAGAGGAAUUUGUUAGUUAAAUGAUACUCCACGAAUGGAAUAUCCUAAGUAUGAUUUUUAUGUAUUGUUGUAUAAAAAUUAUUUUAUAAGAAUUUAUAAUUAAGAUAUUAAAUUUAAUAUGAAUUCAAAUCAAAAUGUAGAGUUAUUAGGAUUUAAUGAAUUACAAUUUAAUGAAAAUAAUGGAGUUAUUUUUUUAAUUAAAAUAAUGAAAUAGGAUUUAAAAGUAAAUUUAAAAAAAUAUUUAAGUUGAAA